rnacentral:snRNA from 1 species
GGACAUCAAGGUGAUCUGGUUGCCAUACUUGUCACCCCGUUUGAUCAGCAGUGUGGAUCUACACGACCUGGCUGGCUAGACUGAUGUCUUCUUCCUUCAUCAUCAUUCCAAGUGCACUCCUCCCAAAGCUGUGGACUUGGUGGAAAUGAACAACCAUCCCACCUAGAUGGAGUGUACUAUUCUUUGGCCAG